UUGUAGAACGGGCCAACGAGUUACGUUAAGUAGCAAGGUUAAGCACUUAAGGUGCGGAGCCGUAGCGAAAGCGAGUUUUAACUGAGCGUUCAGUUACUUGACGUAGACCCGAAACCGGGCGACCUACCCAUGAGCAGGAUGAAGCGAAAGUAAAAUUUCGUGGAGGUCCGAACCCACGAGCGUUGAAAAGCUCGGGGAUGACUUGUGGGUAGCGGUGAAAUUCCAAUCGAGCCCGGAGAUAGCUGGUUCUCCCCGAAAUAGCUUUAGGGCUAGCCUCAAGGUGAGAGAUACGGAGGUAGAGCACUGAAUGUCCUAGGGGGUAUUGCACCUACCGAAGACUAUCAAACUCCGAAUGCCGUCAUCUUAUACUUGGGAGUCAGACUGUGGGUGAUAAGAUUCAUAGUCGAAAGGGCAACAGCCCAGAUCGUCAGCUAAGGUCCCUAAAUGUAAGUUAAGUGGUAAAGGAUGUGGGAUUGCACAGACAACCAGGAUGUUGGCUUAGAAGCAGCCACUCAUUCAAAGAGUGCGUAAUAGCUCACUGGUCGAGUGAUCCUGCGCCGAAGAUUUCCGGGGCUAAAACUUACUACCGAAGCUACGGCAUCAGUAAUGAUGGGUAGGGGAGCUUCCCAUACGGGUUGAAGCAUGACCGUAAGGACAUGUGGACAGUAUGGGAGUGAGAAUGUUGGCAUGAGUAGCGAGAUGUGGGUGAGAAUCCCACAGGCCGUAAACCCAAGGUUUCCAGGGGAAGGUUCGUCCGCCCUGGGUUAGUCGGGACCUAAGCUGAGGCCGAAAGGCGUAGGUGAUGGACAACAGGUUGAUAUUCCUGUACUACCGAUAACCGUUUGAGAGAAGGGAUGACACAGUAGGAUAAGCUAAGCACACUGUUGGUUAUGUGUGCCCAAGCAUUGAGGCAGUCAAAGUAGGCAAAUCCGCUUUGAUAAUGCUGGGAUGUGAUGGGGAGCGAAAUUUAGUAGCGAAGUAGCUGAUUUCACACUGUCAAGAAAAGUCUCUAUCGAGGUUAAAGGUACCCGUACCGCAAACCGACACAGGUGGGUGAGGAGAGUAUCCUAAGGCCAGCGAGAGAACUGUUGUUAAGGAACUCGGCAAAAUGACCCCGUAACUUAGGGAUAAGGGGUGCCACCAUCAGGUGGCCGCAGAGAAUAGGCCCAAGCGACUGUUUACCAAAAACAUAGGUUUCUGCUAAGUCGCAAGACGAUGUAUAGGAGCUGACGCCUGCCCGGUGCUGGAAGGUUAAGGGGAUCUGUUAGAGCAAUCGAAGCAGUGAACUUAAGCCCCAGUAAACGGCGGCCGUAACUAUAACGGUCCUAAGGUAGCGAAAUUCCUUGUCGGGUAAGUUCCGACCCGCACGAAAGGCGUAACGAUUUGGGCACUGUCUCAACAACAGACUCGGUGAAAUUGUAAUUCCGGUGAAGAUGCCGGAUACCUGCGACAGGACGGAAAGACCCCAUGGAGCUUUACUGUAGCUUGACAUUGGGUCUUGGUACUACAUGUACAGGAUAGGUGGGAGGCUUUGAAACCAGGACGCCAGUUUUGGCGGAGCCAUCCUUGGGAUACCACCCUUGUAGUACUGGGACUCUAACCAUAGGCCAUGAAUCUGGUCUUGGGACACUGUCA
rnacentral:rRNA from 1 species